GGUAGUCCACGCCGUAAACGAUGAGUGCUAGGUGUUGCGGGUAUCGACCCCCGCAGUACCGUAGUUAACACAAUAAGCACUCCGCCUGGGGAGUACGGUCGCAAGACUGAAACUCAAAGGAAUUGACGGGGGCCCGCACAAGCGGUGGAGUAUGUGGUUUAAUUAGACGCAACGCGAAGAACCUUACCAGGGCUUGACAUCCUCUGAAAGCCAUAGAGAUAUGGACCUUACCCUUCGGGGUAACAGAGAGACAGGUGGUGCAUGGUUGUCGUCAGCUCGUGUCGUGAGAUGUUGGGUUAAGUCCCGCAACGAGCGCAACCCCUAACAUUAGUUGCCAGCGAGUAAGGUCGGGAACUCUAAUGUGACUGCCGUUGACAAAACGGAGGAAGGUGGGGAUGACGUCAAAUCAUCAUGCCCCUUAUGUCCUGGGCUACACACGUACUACAAUGGCCGGUACAGACGGAAGCGAAGCCGUGAGGCGGAGCAAAACUGAGAAAGCCGGUCCCAGUUCGGAUUGUAGUCUGCAACUCGACUACAUGAAGUCGGAAUCGCUAGUAAUCGCAGGUCAGCAUACUGCGGUGAAUACGUUCCCGGGCCUUGUACACACCGCCCGUCACACCACGAAAGCUGACAACACCCGAAGCCGGUGAAGCAUAAACC
rnacentral:rRNA from 1 species